AAGAGAGGAUUCCCUGAGUAGCGGCGAGCGGAAGGGGAGGAGCCCAACCGUAACGGCGAACGAGCCAGUCGGCGCUGCCGUUAGGGGGGAAGAACGGAUUGCUUGGAGGGGGCGACUGACCCUUCGCACGGCGAGUUGACGUCAGCCGAACGCCACUGGAACGGGCGGCCGGAGCGGGUGAGAGCCCCGUAGGCGACGGCGUUGAUGAGGGUGUGGAGCGAUUGCGUGAGUACCGCCGGACACGUGACAUCUGGUGGGAAGCGGGGUGGACCACCAUCCAAGGCUAAAUACCGCAGGCGACCGAUAGUGAACCAGUACCGUGAGGGGAAUGGUGAAAAGCACCCCGACAAGGGGAGUGAAAGAGAUCCUGAAACCGUACGCUUCCAGCCGGUCGGAGCAAGUCUUUGAGCUUGUGACGGCGUGCCUUUUGUAGAAUGAGCCGACGAGUGGUUCUUCGUGGCGAGGCUAAGGCAGCGACAGCCGGAGCC
rnacentral:rRNA from 1 species